GUUUGAGUGAUGACUCCACAAAUUGUCGGAUACCCCUUCACUCCCGUUAUGAGUGAUAACAGUGGUCUGACAAAC
ensembl:snoRNA small nucleolar RNA, C/D box 101